GAUGAACGCUGGCGGCGUGCCUAAUACAUGCAAGUCGAGCGAACAGACGAGGAGCUUGCUCCUCUGACGUUAGCGGCGGUCGGGUGAGUAACACGUGGAUAACCUACCUAUAAGACUGGGAUAACUUCGGGAAACCGGAGCUAAUACCGGAUAAUAUAUUGAACCGCAUGGUUCAAUAGUGAAAGACGGUUUUGCUGUCACUUAUAGAUGGAUCCGCGCCGCAUUAGCUAGUUGGUAAGGUAACGGCUUACCAAGGCGACGAUGCGUAGCCGACCUGAGAGGGUGAUCGGCAACACUGGCAAAGAGAAACGGACCACACUCCAACGGGAGGCAGCAGUAGGGAAUGUUCCGCAACGAGCGAAAACCUAACGGAGCAACGCCGCGUGAGUGAUGAAGGUCUUAGGAUCGUAAACCUCUGUUAUUAGGGAAGAACAAAUGUGUAAGUAACUAUGCACGUAUUGACGGUACCUAAUCAGAAAGGCAAGGCUAACUAAGUG
rnacentral:rRNA from 1 species